AUUACUCCAUAAUUGUCACUAUAACAUUGUCAUUUAAAGCUAUAACCCAUUAUUAAUUUUUUUCCCACAAUUAGAGACAAGUAAUAAAAUUUACAAAUAAAACAUCUAGAUGAAGGGUUGGAUAUGCAAAUAAGAACCUUACUGCCGUGCUACUCUAAACCGGAAGAAAUAUAAAAAAAAAUUGUUGCAAUAAAAAAAAAUAGCAAGUUACGGUCCUUUG
rnacentral:lncRNA from 1 species